CUGGAGCGUGUCCAUUUCCUGAGUUUUACAAUUAUGUGUCUCAAUAUGUGCCUUCAGCGUCAAUAUCCAGGACAUACUGUGUCUUUCUUUUUAAGUGGUCAGUGGGAGUUUGGGGUCUCUGACCUCUGCUCGACCCCUGAGGCGUCUCUAUCACACAUCAGACAGCGAUCGGUCGGACCACCAGAGAAGAGCGGCACCCAAAACUCAAGACACCCGGCUAUCUCCUGGUGUCCUCCUCUUUGGAGGGCCCUAUGAUGU